GACGUUAGCGGCGGACGGGUGAGUAACACGUGGGUAACCUACCUAUAAGACUGGGACAACUUCGGGAAACCGGAGCUAAUACCGGAUAGUAUGUUGAACCGCAUGGUUCAAUAGUGAAAGAUGGUUUUGCUAUCACUUAUAGAUGGACCCGCGCCGUAUUAGCUAGUUGGUGAGGUAACGGCUCACCAAGGCAACGAUACGUAGCCGACCUGAGAGGGUGAUCGGCCACACUGGAACUGAGACACGGUCCAGACUCCUACGGGAGGCAGCAGUAGGGAAUCUUCCGCAAUGGGCGAAAGCCUGACGGAGCAACGCCGCGUGAGUGAUGAAGGUCUUAGGAUCGUAAAACUCUGUUAUUAGGGAAGAACAAACGUGUAAGUAACUGUGCACGUCUUGACGGUACCUAAUCAGAAAGCCACGGCUAACUACGUGCCAGCAGCCGCGGUAAUACGUAGGUGGCAAGCGUUAUCCGGAAUUAUUGGGCGUAAAGCGCGCGUAGGCGGUUUUUUAAGUCUGAUGUGAAAGCCCACGGCUCAACCGUGGAGGGUCAUUGGAAACUGGAAAACUUGAGUGCAGAAGAGGAAAGUGGAAUUCCAUGUGUAGCGGUGAAAUGCGCAGAGAUAUGGAGGAACACCAGUGGCGAAGGCGACUUUCUGGUCUGUAACUGACGCUGAUGUGCGAAAGCGUGGGGAUCAAACAGGAUUAGAUACCCUGGUAGUCCACGCCGUAAACGAUGAGUGCUAAGUGUUAGGGGGUUUCCGCCCCUUAGUGCUGCAGCUAACGCAUUAAGCACUCCGCCUGGGGAGUACGACCGCAAGG
rnacentral:rRNA from 1 species